GCCCGGCUGGCUCAGUGGUUUAGCAUCUGCCUUCAGCCCAGGGCGUGAUCCUGAAGACCUGGGAUCGAGUCCCAUGUCGGGCU
rnacentral:tRNA from 1 species